rnacentral:rRNA from 1 species
AAUCAACGCUGGCGGCGUGCCUAACACAUGCAAGUCGAACGAGAAAGUGGAGCAAUCCAUGAGUAAAGUGGCGACCGGGUGAGUAACACGUGACUAACCUACCUUCAAGUGGGGGAUAACCUCGGGAAACCGGGGCUAAUACCGCAUAAAAUCUUUGGGAUGAGAAGCCGAAGAUCAAAGGAGCAAUUCGCUGGAAGAGGGGGUCGCGGCUGAUUAGCUAGUUGGUGGGGUAAUGGCCCACCAAGGCUUUGAUCGGUAGCCGGCCUGAGAGGGCGCACGGCCACACUGGAACUGAAACACGGUCCAGACUCCUACGGGAGGCAGCAGUGGGGAAUUUUGCGCAAUGGGGGAAACCCUGACGCAGCAACGCCGCGUGGAGGAUGAAGUCCCUUGGGACGUAAACUCCUGUCGAGGGGGAGGAAGCCGCGAGGUUGACCGAUCCCUGGAGGAGCACGGGCUAAGUUCGUGCCAGCAGCCGCCGUAAU